rnacentral:rRNA from 1 species
GAUGAACGCUGGCGGCGUGCCUAAUACAUGCAAGUCGAGCGAACGGACGAGAAGCUUGCUUCUCUGAUGUUAGCGGCGGACGGGUGAGUAACACGUGGAUAACCUACCUAUAAGACUGGGAUAACUUCGGGAAACCGGAGCUAAUACCGGAUGAUAUUUUGAACCGCAUGGUUCAAAAGUGAAAGACGGUCUUGCUGUCACUUAUAGAUGGAUCCGCGCUGCAUUAGCUAGUUGGUAAGGUAACGGCUUACCAAGGCAACGAUGCAUAGCCGACCUGAGAGGGUGAUCGGCCACACUGGAACUGAGACACGGUCCAGACUCCUACGGGAGGCAGCAGUAGGGAAUCUUCCGCAAUGGGCGGAAGCCUGACGGAGCCACGCCGCGUGAGUGAUGAAGGCCUUCGGAUCGUAAAACUCUGUUAUUAGGGAAGAACAUAUGUGUAAGUAACUGUGCACAUCUUGACGGUACCUAAUCAGAAAGCCCCGGCUAACUACGUG